UGAGAUCAUCACCAUAAGCACA
rnacentral:miRNA from 1 species